rnacentral:rRNA from 1 species
GAUGAACGCUGGCGGCGUGCCUAAUACAUGCAAGUAGAACGCUGAAGGAGGAGCUUGCUCUUCUGGAUGAGUUGCGAACGGGUGAGUAACGCGUAGGUAACCUGCCUGGUAGCGGGGGAUAACUAUUGGAAACGAUAGCUAAUACCGCAUGACAACAGUUAUUGCAUGAUAACUGUUUAAAAGGGGCAACUGCUCCACUACCAGAUGGACCUGCGUUGUAUUAGCUAGUUGGUGAGGUAACGGCCCACCAAGGCGACGAUACAUAGCCGACCUGAGAGGGUGAUCGGCCACACUGGGACUGAGACACGGCCCAGACUCCUACGGGAGGCAGCAGUAGGGAAUCUUCGGCAAUGGACGGAAGUCUGACCGAGCAACGCCGCGUGAGUGAAGAAGGUUUUCGGAUCGUAAAGCUCUGUUGUAAGAGAAGAACGAGUGUGAGAGUGGAAAGUUCACACUGUGACGGUAUCUGACCAGAAAGGGACGGCUAACUACGUG